AUGAGAAGAGGCGCCACUGUCAAGGAACCAUUCAGGCGCCGGCGUGGAAGGGUAGCCGCCGUUGCUGUAUGCGGCGUUGAGCAUGGCAAUGUGAUCCCACGACGGAGGCGGUGGCGGGUAGUACGGGCUGGCCGGCGGGGGCGGUGUGUAGGCAUGGUACGCCUGGGCAUGGGAGCCAGGACGAGGCCCGAGGACGCCGGCGGCGUUGGGAGGGAUCCAGCCGGAGCGAGGGGACGGGAGCGCCAUCCCGUAGGGAGCAAAAUAGCCCGUGAACGGAGAGAAGGGUGGGUGCGACGGACCCCGGCCCCCGCUGUCGUUGCGUCCACGGCCACGUCCACGGCCGCGGUCACCACCAUCACCGCCGCGAUCACCGCGACCACGACCAGAGGAUGGAGGCGGCGGAUGAGGCGGCCCCUAGAGCCGAUCGGAGACGCGGUCGGAGGAGCGGUCACCACCAUGAUCACCAGCAGCGCGACCACCCGCGCCGGGGGUGCCACCGGAGGUGCUGGAGCCGGGGAUAGCAAAGGCGGACACGCUCUCCUCGGCCGCGCGCUGCGCCUGAGAUUCCUCGGCCAAGACCACCCUGGAGAGGACGGUGUCGAAGGGGAGAGUCUGAUCGCUGAGGACGACCCGAAUGGUUUCAAGCCGUUUAUCGAGUCCAUGAAGGAACUGCGUGGUGAGAUCCACCUCGGUGACCGCGUGGUCGAUGUCGGCGAGGCCGUCGGUGAGCUGCUUCAUGCGGCGCGCGUACUCGGAGAUCGAGAGGUCGCCCUGCUUGAGAUUGCGGUAUUGGCGGUUGAGGAUCAUGUAGCGGGCGGCGCGGUUGGCGAGGAAGUAGUCCUUGAUUUUGUGCCAGAGAGCGAAGGUGGUUGUGGCGCCGACGACAUGGUCGCACAUGGUGUCGGAGAGGGUGACGUAGAUCCACAGGACAACGUGGGCAUCCAGCUCGAGGUAUUGGGAGGUGGCGUUGGGGGGAGGUGGGUGCUCGAUGAGGUAGGUGACGCCGUACCGGAGAAGAACCAUGAGAAAGAAGGUUUUCCACUUGUGAUAGUUGUGACCUGCUGGGUUGAGAAGAAACUUGAUGUGGUUAGUGAUGUGGUCGUGGAAGAUGGAGGGACUAGGGGCAGAGGGCUGCGGCAUAGGCGAGGAAGUGGUGGCGGCGGUAAACAGUGGCGCAAACUGGGUGCUAGGGGCGGCGGAGGAGCUGUUGAAGAGGGACGGAGUGGUGCCGAAGGAGAACGCCGGGGAGGUGGCGGGAGAGGUGGCCGCGGAGGAGUCGGCGGCGGGCGCCGUGGAGGAGGAGGAGAGGGAGCCCGGCGAGGUCGCGGAGCUGGAGGAGCCGCCGGCGGAGGUGAAGGGUGGAGGGCCGGUCAUGGGUGCUCCUGGUGUCUGAUACCAAGUUGGAGUGAAUUACUCUCGAUUGAUUGA
rnacentral:rRNA from 1 species